CCUACGGGGGGCAGCAGUGGGGAAUAUUGGACAAUGGGCGAAAGCCUGAUCCAGCCAUGCCGCGUGUGUGAAGAAGGCCUUCGGGUUGUAAAGCACUUUCAGUGGGGAAGAAAGCCUUGGGGCUAAUACCCUCGAGGAAGGACAUCACCCACAGAAGAAGCACCGGCUAACUCCGUGCCAGCAGCCGCGGUAAUACGGAGGGUGCGAGCGUUAAUCGGAAUUACUGGGCGUAAAGCGCGCGUAGGCGGUCUGAUAAGCCGGUUGUGAAAGCCCCGGGCUCAACCUGGGAACGGCAUCCGGAACUGUCAGGCUAGAGUGCAGGAGAGGAAGGUAGAAGUCGCGGUGUAGCGGUGAAAUGCGUAGAGAUCGGGAGGAAUACCAGUGGCGAAGGCGGCCUUCUGGACUGACACUGACGCUGAGGUGCGAAAGCGUGGGUAGCAAACAGGAUUAGAUACCCCGGUAGUC
rnacentral:rRNA from 1 species